rnacentral:rRNA from 1 species
GAUUAACGCUGGCGGCGUGCAUAACACAUGCAAGUCGAACGAUGAAACUUAAAUGAUUUCUUCGGAAUGAACUUAAGUGGAUUAGUGGCGGACGGGUGAGUAACGCGUGAGUAACCUGCCUUACACAAGGGGAUAGCCGUUGGAAACGACGAAUAAUACCCUAUGAAACUAUCACUUCGCAUGAAGCGAUAGUCAAAGUGUUAGCGGUGUAAGAUGGACUUGCGUCUGAUUAGCUAGUUGGUGAGAAAAAAGCCCACCAAGGCAACGAUCAGUAGCCGGCUUGAGAGAGUGUACGGCCACAUUGGGACUGAGACACGGCCCAGACUCCUACGGGAGGCAGCAGUGGGGAAUUUUGCACAAUGGGGAAACCCUGAUGCAGCGACGCCGCGUGAUUUAGAAGGCCUUCGGGUUGUAAAAAUCUUUUGUAUAGGAAGAAAAUGACAGUACUAUACGAAUAAGGUCCGGCUAAUUACGUG